GGAUCAAUUUAUUGGUCGUGCUAUUGUACGUACUGGUAUUAUUGAUUCCUACCUUCUGACGAACCAUGAUGUCAUUAAUUUGGUGCCAUGGAGAAUCAGGACUGUUACUUUGAAAAAAUUAGAGUGUUUAAAGCAGGCUCACGCUUGGGUACAAACAUGGAAUAACGAAAUAGGACGUUUGAUUCUAUUUUGUUGGUUUCUAGGAUCGACGUA
rnacentral:rRNA from 1 species